rnacentral:rRNA from 1 species
UCUACGGGGGGCAGCAGUGAGGAAUAUUGGUCAAUGGGCGCGAGCCUGAACCAGCCAAGUAGCGUGAAGGAGGAAGGCCCUACGGGUUGUAAACUUCUUUUAUAAAGGAAUAAAGUGAGGCACGUGUGCCUUUUUGUGUGUACUUGAUGAAUAAGGAUCGGCUAACUCCGUGCCAGCAGCCGCGGUAAUACGGAGGAUGCGAGCGUUAUCCGGAUUUAUUGGGUUUAAAGGGAGCGGAGAUGGGUUGUUAAGUCAGUGGUGAAAGUUUGCGGCUCAACCGGAAAAUUGCAAUGGAUACUGGCAGUCUUGAGUACAGGUGAGGUAUGCGGAAUUCGUGGUGUAGCGGUGAAAUGCUUAGAUAUCACGAAGAACUCCGAUUGCGAAGGCAGCUUAC